rnacentral:rRNA from 1 species
UACGUAGGCAGCGAGCGUUGUUCGGAGUACUGGGCGUAAAGCGUGCGCAGGCGGUUCGUUAAGUUCGUUGUGAAAGCCCCGGGCUCAACCUGGGAACUGCAAUGGAAACUGGCGGGCUUGAGUGUGGCAGAGGGGGGUGGAAUUCCGCGUGUAGGCAGUGAAAUGCGUAGAUAUGCGGAGGAACACCAGUGGCGAAAGCGACUUUCUGGUCCUUAACUGACGCUGAGGCGCGAAAGCAUGGGGAGCGAACGGG